GGGUUGUGAGGUUAAGCGACUAAGCGUACACGGUGGAUGCCCUGGCAGUCAGAGGCGAUGAAGGACGUGCUAAUCUGCGAUAAGCGCCGGUAAGGUGAUAUGAACCGUUAUAACCGGCGAUUUCCGAAUGGGGAAACCCAGUGUGAUUCGUCACACUAUCAUUAACUGAAUCCAUAGGUUAAUGAGGCGAACCGGGGGAACUGAAACAUCUAAGUACCCCGAGGAAAAGAAAUCAACCGAGAUUCCCCCAGUAGCGGCGAGCGAACGGGGAGGAGCCCAGAGCCUGAAUCAGCAUGUGUGUUAGUGGAAGCGUCUGGAAAGGCGCGCGAUACAGGGUGACAGCCCCGUACACAAAAGCGCAUGUGCUGUGAGCUCGAUGAGUAGGGCGGGACACGUGGUAUCCUGUCUGAAUAUGGGGGGACCAUCCUCCAAGGCUAAAUACUCCUGACUGACCGAUAGUGAACCAGUACCGUGAGGGAAAGGCGAAAAGAACCCCGGCGAGGGGAGUGAAAAAGAACCUGAAACCGUGUACGUACAAGCAGUGGGAGCACAGGUUUACCUGUGUGACUGCGUACCUUUUGUAUAAUGGGUCAGCGACUUAUAUUCUGUAGCAAGGUUAACCGAAUAGGGGAGCCGUAGGGAAACCGAGUCUUAACCGGGCGUUAAGUUGCAGGGUAUAGACCCGAAACCCGGUGAUCUAGCCAUGGGCAGGUUGAAGGUUGGGUAACACUAACUGGAGGACCGAACCGACUAAUGUUGAAAAAUUAGCGGAUGACCUGUGGCUGGGGGUGAAAGGCCAAUCAAACCGGGAGAUAGCUGGUUCUCCCCGAAAGCUAUUUAGGUAGCGCCUCGUGAAUUCAUCUCCGGGGGUAGAGCACUGUUUCGGCUAGGGGGCCAUCCCGGCUUACCAACCCGAUGCAAACUGCGAAUACCGGAGAAUGUUAUCACGGGAGACACACGGCGGGUGCUAACGUCCGUCGUGAAGAGGGAAACAACCCAGACCGCCAGCUAAGGUCCCAAAGUCAUGGUUAAGUGGGAAACGAUGUGGGAAGGCCCAGACAGCCAGGAUGUUGGCUUAGAAGCAGCCAUCAUUUAAAGAAAGCGUAAUAGCUCACUGGUCGAGUCGGCCUGCGCGGAAGAUGUAACGGGGCUAAACCAUGCACCGAAGCUGCGGCAGCGAACGUAUCACUUAAAGCGAUUCAGCGGGUUACGAUUGACGGAGCGAAGCGACGUCAAAGCGUAUACAAAGUCGAGUCGGUUUAAGGAUACGUUCGUUGGGUAGGGGAGCGUUCUGUAAGCCUGUGAAGGUGGCCUGUGAGGGUUGCUGGAGGUAUCAGAAGUGCGAAUGCUGACAUAAGUAACGAUAAAGCGGGUGAAAAGCCCGCUCGCCGGAAGACCAAGGGUUCCUGUCCAACGUUAAUCGGGGCAGGGUGAGUCGACCCCUAAGGCGAGGCCGAAAGGCGUAGUCGAUGGGAAACGGGUUAAUAUUCCCGUACUUGGUGUUACUGCGAAGGGGGGACGGAGAAGGCUA
rnacentral:rRNA from 1 species